GCUAUGAUUCGUCGGUGACGGCGGGCGGCCGGGGCUGCAUCGUCGGCGGCGACGGUGAAUCGUCGGCCACUGCGGGCAGCGGCCUCGAUGCGUGGCACAACAUGCAGAGUGAGGGAGAAAACUGAUCCAUAAGGUUGCUGAAUUUAAUGGUUUGUUUCAGUUGUCAAGGAUUAUAUAUGCAGCAACUAUAGAAAUGAUCUUACCGGACCAAGAUAUUUUAUGCAUUGCUUCUUCAGCUGAGCUCUUGGACACUCAGGAAGGUCAACAUCUUUUCCCUCCCCAAUAUCAAGCCUACAUUUGCAAAAAGAACAUUACUGAAAUCACUGCACAAUCAAACCACUUACUGAAAUUUAUGUGAUUCAGUGCAACACUGAACUUAAUGCAUUCUAUUUGCAAAUUAAUCUCUUUUUGUCAGACACAUCCAACCAGUUUAAUUAUUCCAAUGACAUGGAGUAGUUUGCAAAUGCAAGCACACAAAUCACAGUCAACUUCUCACCAGUAGAAAAAAGGCUGGCCGGCCUGGCUUUGGCACCAGACAUCAUAGUAGCACUGCAGAUUGUGACCAUAUCUAUGCCGUGGGUCAAUCUAUACAACGAAUGAUAAUUGCUGUCAUAAUUGCAUAUGUGCAUCAAAAGUUUCACAUAAUGAACGAAAAAAAGCAGAAGCAGAAGCUUCCAUCACGCCAUCAUGAUAAGCUGUGAAGCUUUCUCAUGAGCGAUGAUGUAUUCAUGCUCACACCUGACGAACUACAAGUCCAAUUAAGUCAACUGAUAGCAGCCUCUUUUCACGUGUAUAUAUAUAAUAAAACAAUAAAACAAAUACCAUUAAUUUCUGAACCAUAAAGGUACUAGUAAUACACUAAUACCUGAUCAAGUAAAGAACACUGGUAAAAAAAAAACACUAGUAGAUUUGUACUGUUGUACUUACAGCCUCGAUCCAGUGCUGGAAUGCCAGCUUCCGAGCCUUGGCGUCUCUUGAUAAACCCUGACCCACCUGCAUCAAAGCUCAGAUUUUUUACAGCAAUUUCGACACAAACAGAAGAUUAAUCAAGGAGAUGCAGACCAGACAAACCAAAAGAAUGCCUCCUUUUUUUCUUAACCAAAAGAAUGCCUUCUUUUUUUCUUGUGGAAUUUUGUGGUAGGCUGCAGGUAGCAGCAACUGAGAAACGGAAGGAAGUAGGAGACCUUGGAAGCAAUGAUGCUGACACGGCUCCAGCGGGAGGCGACGGUCUCCGGGUUAGGGUCGUGGAAGGAGAUGGUGCUGUAGCUCAGCCGCGCGUAGUCCAGCGCUUGCCACCUUCAAACAAUCCAACCCACAAACUUAAUUUCUCGGUUAAAAAAUUUGAUUACUUUUAGAUUUCUAUUUUCUCUACACAAAUUAAACA